AGCUGGAUCAUUUUUCCGAUUUUCAAAAAAUCAAAAAAACCCAGUAUUUCUCAUCCCUUUUCAUAUGGGGGAAAACAACUUUUUUUGUGUGUUUGAAUUUUUUUCAGUUGAAGAUAUGGUUUAUUUUUCGUUUCUCUGCGCCACGAAACGGAUUCACCGAAUUCUUGGUCAACGAAGUUUCUGUGUGUGCGCCUCGCCUGCAAAAUUGGCGUGGGCGGAUUUCGGCGAUUUUUCCAUUUUGGUGUUUGCAUCAAAGUGGAGAGACUCUGCGUCCGGUACUCGGACAGAGGUUCCAAAGCUGACGUCUUGCUCAAGAGCGUGUGCACAUGAAAAUCGUUGGGCUUGGUUUGCUGAGCUGUGGAUACCAGAUCAAAAAAGGAAGGAAAAAGAAAUCAUUUUUGACAACAUUGUGAAGGAGGAAAACCCCACAUAUACAGAGUUGGAGAAAAAACUGAACAAAAAACAAAACCAAUUUGCCGCCCAACUACGGUUGACGACGGCUCCAACAACGUGUCGCGAUGGAUGACUUGGCUUCCUAUUUCGUUGAAGAACGCAGCAAAGUGCGAUAAGUGGUAUCAAUUGCAGAACCUAUCAAUUACCGAAUCUUUGAACGCAAACGGCGCUUGGAAGAAGACAUUCGUGUUCAACUCCGAGCAUGCCAUGCCUCAGUGUCGAACAAAAACCAAAAAAAUAUUAAAAAGCAGAAUCUGCGCUUGAUACGAAAAAAAUCCCUUUUUUUCAAGUCGGCGUGGUGGCUCUUCUGUUUGUGCUUGCAUUCUGUGGGCGCGAUAACGAGCAAAUCACUUUUUCUGCUGCUUUUCCUUUUUUUUUUCUUUCUUUUGAUCUCGUCCGCGGGAAAAAAAGAUCAAAAAAAAAAGAAAAGUGGGCCUCUAUUUCUCAAGUUCAGAUUUUGAAAAAAAAAGAACCAAAACAAUUGUUGAAGUUUAUUUUUUUGCUGGCUUGAAAAAGAGUUAAAAAAUUUUUUACAUUUCGGUUCACUGACCUGAGCGUGGCAGGACUACCCGCCGAACUUAAGCAUAUUAUUCAGCGGAGGAAAAGAAAACAACCGUGAUUCUCUCAGUCAGGGGCGACCGAAGAGGGACCGGACUCGUUGCCGAAUCAGGGCCUCAAACGGUUCUGAGCUGUGGCAUAAGUGCUGUUUGUGGUUGGUUUUACCGGACUGGCGAAAUUCAAUGUGCAAAGCAGACCCGUUGCUGGACACAACCUCUCAUGUGAGUAUUGGGCCCUAGAUCGGUGUUAGCCCGUUGAGCCAGAAGCCGGGGCCUCAUGGACAGUAACAAGCGAGUAGCACUGCUUGGGAAUGCAGUGUGAAGCGGCAGGUAUGUGUCUGCCAAAGUUAAAUACAGAGUAGGAAGACCGAUAGCGAACAAGUAGCGUGAGCGAAAGUUUGAAAAGCACUUUGGAAAGAGAGUGACAUAGAACCUGAAGUCGUGACAACGACAAUGGACGCGCCUCCAUUACAUUUCGGUCAAGGCCGACCACCUAAGCAUUUCUCCUGCUCGAACUCGUAGAGAUCUUGUGGGUAAAUAAAGUGCAGAACAGGGGUACCGGUUAAGCGAGCGGAAAUAAAGGGCCGGAAGUCGGAGUGGAUGGUCCCCAAAAGGGACUCGGAUUAAAAACCCCACUGCUCCGCGAGACGGUUUCUUUUCCGUGAUGCUCGGAACUUGACGCUGAGAAUGGGGUGCCUCCACCCGUCUUGAAACACGGACCAAGGAGUCAAACAAACGCGCAAGGGAGAGGAUUUUACACAAGUACCAUCUCUCGUACUGAAAGGGAGGUCGCAAGACCAAUGGUGUGCACACAACACGAAUGCCCAACACCGGCCGGCCCGUACGCGGGUUGAGCUCGAGUGUGCCUGUUUGGACCCGAAAGGUGGUGAACUAUGCCUGAACAAGGUGAAGCCCGGGGAAACCCAGGUGGAGGCCUGUAGCGAUGCUGACGUGCAAAUCGCUCGCAUGAUUUGGGUAUCGGAGCGAAAGACUCAUCGAACCACCUAGUAGCUGGUUCACAU
rnacentral:misc_RNA from 1 species